GUCAGGUGUUUAAAAGCAGUCCCAGCUGUGACUGUCUGCUAUUUUAAGCCUCCAUCUCUCCAAUUUGUCUGCUGCACGGCACGCAACAGACUUUCCCACGUUUGUGUAGCGCUGACAACUGUAGCCAAGCAGAGUUCUUCAGUGACUCGCUUAGUCUGACACUGUUAAAUAGCACACAAAGGAAAGCUACGCUGCUUUCUCAUUCAACAUUGUUACCCAUGCAGGCAGGGUCUUUCAGUAAAAGGGGGGUGUGUUGUCUACUAGCCACCUACUGGUGAUAAUACAGUUCUCUUGGAUAGUGUUCUCAGUGUGGAUACUAAGAAUAGGACCAGGGAAGAAGAGGGAACCUGGAAAUGCUAGCCUAUUUCUACUUGUAUUAUGACAUCUGUAAAAAAAGAAGCACAGUAUUGUUGUGGAGAAUAGCGUGGGGUUGUAGACAGCUGGGGUAUUAAGCAAUAUUACAGCGGAUAGAAUUAUAGGACGAGAGAGGAGCUCAGAGAAUUAGGGAAAGUCUCUCCUCUGAGGUACAUAACCCUGUUGCCUGGCAACGGGCGGUACUUUGCUGGCAGAGUGGAAGGAGCCGGCGAUGUCACAGGAGAUUACAAUGAAAAUGUAUUUGCAGCUUCAUAAACCCAGCGGAGUAAUUACCCCCGCUAGUUGGUUUAGUCGUCCAGAUCCAUUAAACACGGACGCCUUGUCAUCACCUUUCCAUCCCACUAAAAGAGCAGCUUACACACAAGGCCACGAGAACCGCUGACAACUCAAUGACUCACCUUCUAGGCAGCACCUCUCUGGGUUGAGAUGGUCUGAGAGAAAGGGUAUUAUCAAGAAGGACCAGAGCAUUGCCCUGAACUGAAGUAGCGAUACAGAACUUUUCUCACCCAGAGGAUUGGAAAGCCAGCUUUGGGGUCAGGUUGCGUCCAUUGCAGCUAAGACCGCCCUCAAGCAAAGUUUGCGUCAGAUUCUAAUUUGUGCUCUGCCUUAAUCCCAAACCUACCUUCCCUCUUUGAUCAUGCUGUGUUUGAAGCUGUGAAGCGAUGGAGCCUUGCGUCCCAGUCUCCCAGACUGCAUCACUCACCUCACCCGGUGGCCCAGUUCAGGUUGACAGGAGAGACUAGAGAUCCUGGAUGCCUUGGUUGGAGAAGCUCCGUAGCUCCAGGCUCCAUUAGAGAGAUGAUACUGAGAUCCCCCUGGCCCUGGCUCCAUAACCCCUAUACUGGGUUUUACUCCCUCUCAGCCCCCUCUCCCUCAGUCAGCCCCCUUUGUUCUGCAUGCAUGCCUGGGCUCAGGCUCUAGACACUAAGCUGGAGAUCACAGGCAGAAACACUCCUUUCUUUCCUGUCAAGUGGGAACCAGUCCUUGGCUGCCUUGUCUCCCCACCUCGUCCUGUUUCUGAGCUGGACUAAGGAGAUGUUAUCACAUGCAAAGGGCUGGUGUUGUAAUAAAGCACCUGCUCCAGAUAGAAGUCACUAAAGGGGCAGCAGAAAGGGAGAGAGGCCUCCCUGCUGCUGUUGAUUUUCCAACAUGAAGUCUACUCUAACUCCUGUGAACCAGACCUGGGUUCAAAUAGGAUUUGUUUUCUUUCAAAUACUUUAGCUGAGCUUGAUUGAGUUUGCCUGGCGCAAUGGGAACCAAUAGAAUAGUCCCAAAAUUUUUCAGAACCCUGCCCAUCUGGCUCUCCAGGCAUGCUCAAACAAACACUUAACUAUUUGGAAAAGAAAUUGUAUUUGAAACCAGGUUUGCUGCGGUCCUGCGGUGUAGGAGGCCUUUAAAUGCUUGUAGAGCAGUGAGCGGAAGGCUGGAGCCUCUAAUGUAACAGUAGGCAGGGGAGGGAACACACAACACCUGUUUUCCAUUAGCACACAGACAUUUCUCCUUUAUCUGCCUCCAUUUUGUGUGUGCUCCAAUGUAGGCUAACUUUUAAAGCGCCAGUGAGUGAAUGUCUGUUCGUUCAGUAGUAACUAUGCCUGGCUACAUCCUAUAGAAAUAUAACCCCAAGGCUAUAUGAGUUGUGAAACCUGAUCCAUUGUUUUUGUAGUGUGUACUUGGUCAUUGUCUUUGUUUUUUUCCCAGAUCCCAGCUACUACAGACAGUUUGUGGUACAGCUCGGCUGAGGGUCAAGAGCUGGUCCAUGUUCUUCAGAGACUGAGUCAUUCUGCCAGGUCCCAUGCUGAUGUUUCACUGGCAGCGGAGAUCCUGACAGGGAUUGGAUUCUAGAAUGUUGAUUCAUCAGCAACAAGGGAUUGGCUUCUAGAAGGACCAUAAUUCACAGUGAUCAGCAACCAUGUCUCCAUUAUGGUGCCUUGCGCUAUAAUAAAACUGGCAUCAUUGUGCUUUCCAUUAUCUUUAGAUUUUUUUUAAAGGAUGUUGCGUACAAACAAAGGACACAUUUGCCCCAACGACCUGAAAACUAGUCAGUUCCAUAAACCACCGAGACAGAGCUGAAAUUAAAGUCCAUUUUUAUUGUUUAGCCAUGUCAUGACCAUGUCUCCAAUAAGCACAGCAGGCUACAAUAAUAAGAGAUUCUUUUCACCUCCUUGGACAGCUAUCAACUAAAAGACAUUUAAAAAAAGAAACCGCUGCCCUCCCCACAGACCCUUUGGAACAGUUGUGACACUACAAACAGUGCACACUUAAAGCAAGAAAAUAUUUGGACCAUUUCCAAUUCUUGGUUUUAUACAAAAGCUACACAAUGUUACACUUGAUCAGAAUACAAUUCAACUGAUUAUUAGUGUUCUACACCAUAUCAUUUUAAUUGGAGCAUUACCACUAUAACUUAA